rnacentral:tRNA from 1 species
GAGGGUAUAGCUCAGUAGUAGAGCACGUGCUUAGCAUGCACAAGGUCCUAGGUUCAAUUCCCAGUACCUCCA